CGAGUGGCGGACGGGUGAGUAAUGUCUGGGAAACUGCCUGAUGGAGGGGGAUAACUACUGGAAACGGUAGCUAAUACCGCAUAACGUCGCAAGACCAAAGAGGGGGACCUUCGGGCCUCUUGCCAUCGGAUGUGCCCAGAUGGGAUUAGCUAGUAGGUGGGGUAACGGCUCACCUAGGCGACGAUCCCUAGCUGGUCUGAGAGGAUGACCAGCCACACUGGAACUGAGACACGGUCCAGACUCCUACGGGAGGCAGCAU
rnacentral:rRNA from 1 species